AAAAAUAAAUGUGCACAAGUUAGCAAAACAUAUUUUUCUUCAUCUAUUACUUAUUAUUCAUAUAUAUUUUUUGUAUCUCACUUAUGUUAUUCAAAUAAUUUCAGGUUUUUAUAACUAGUUGAAAAACAAAAAAAAAUACCUGCGAAAAUAUUAAACAAUUACUAUAUCUGCCAUUUUAAUAUUUUAUAAACAUGUGAGGUUCUAAAAACACUAUAUCUGCCAUUUUUACUAGAAAAAUAUUCAAACACUAAACCACAAAUAAAUCUAUAUUCCACAACACUUCAGAUUCACAAACCAAUAUUUCUAGUAACAUAAGAUUUAAAUUUAUUCUUACGUAUAUUUUCUGUUUCUUUUGUUUUGCAUUAAAUAUUCAAAUUUCGACCAAAGUUAAAAGUACUUUUAAGAAUGCCUCCUUUUCUAUGAGAUUUCCAAAAGUCUAUUCCUUAAGCUAGUAGUGAUUGUUUUAAUUUUGCUUACAUGUCAAUACUACAUUCCCUCUCACAAAAAAAAAAACACAACAUCUUUAGUAAAAAAUAUGACAUGACAUUUCUUAUUAAAACAUGUAAAUCUUAAUGAUAAAUUUUUGUUUUUGGUAAGAUUCCUAAAAUGAGAUAAUAAAAUUAGGUACAUACCAUAUAUAAAUCAUCUACAUAAUUAUCGUUCAAAUUUUAAAAUAAUAUAAUUACAAAAAAAAUUAAGAAAAUUCCACAUCAACUAAAUAUAAAAAGUUAGCCAACUUUGUAUAAAUAUCUAUAUUUUUCAAAACAAAAUGUAGGUAGAUCUUAACAAAUACAAAACUAAGAUAAUCUUAAUUAAAAUUCAAAAUUUUAUGAAAAACUAAAAAUUCAAAAACAUUUGUCGAUACAUAAAUCAUCAUAAUAAAACGAUUAUUCAAAGUUUUAAUUGUGAAUUUAUUUGAAUUUAAAUACGAUACAAUACAUUAAAAUCGGUUUGUUAGGAAUUAAACAAAAAAAAAACCAGUAAAUCAAAUUUAAAUAUUAAUAACUUCAAGUUUUUGUCUUAUAUAAUAUUAUUUUUUUGCAUUGCAUAAGAAAACACCUAGUCAAAAUUAAAAUAUUAAGCAUACAAAUCAUAAUGACCAAGUAUGCUAAAGUGGUUACACAUUGCAAAAUCAAAUCCUAUAACUAAACAACCGUUCUAUGUAAUCAGAACUUCCAACAUAUAUUAAGACCAAAAAAAAAAUAAUGGUUAAUAAGCUUUUACUUGGGGGUAGUAGUUCUUCUUUAAUUGUGUAGUUUAUGUUGUUUAUUUAUUACCUAUUUGGUUUUGAAUGAUGUUCUUAGUUUUUUUUAACUGUUUAUGAGCUAACAAUUCUACCACUUUAUAAGAAUGCACAUAUGACUAUGCUAUUCUUAACCGUCCUAUGAGAUCCAUGUUCGAUAGUACGCAUUGCACUAUAUAACUUCUUGGUGUAAAAAAUAUUAAUGAAGUAUUGGUCAAACCACUAUACUAAAGAGACUUACACUAUCAUGUACUCCCUUCGGAUACGAAUAUAAGAUGUUCUAUAUUUUUAUCUUGUAUACAAAUGUACGAUGUUUUAAGAUAUAAUUAAUGCAUUUAUUUUUAAAAUUUAAACAUAAAUUAAAAAGUAAAAUUAUAAGUGGUGAAACUUUAUUGAUAUAAUAAAAAAAUAACAAUUAAAAUAGUUUGUUUCUUAAUAUGUGUGUAAAACUUUAAACAUCUUAUAUUUAAAUCUAGAGGGAGUAUAGUUUAAUAUAGUUAAUGGCUUCAUAAAAUCUUACAACAGCCAAUUUUGAAAUCUAAAUUUUUUUAUCAUUGUCAAUAAAGCGAAUAAAGCAGCUUAACUAUAGCAAACUAUUAAUAAAACUUGCUUGUUACGUUUAUUCUAAUUCUUUCUGUAGCAAAUAGAUGUAAAUAACAGUCAGGAAAAUCUACUCUCUUUCUAAUAAAAUCAGAUUAGAUAUAUCUUCUAAAGAAACCAUUGAUGUUAUGCCAAAAAUAUCUGACUAUCUGACCCAUCUAGAUCGUGAACUGAGUACUACCGCACAUGUUAAUAGUAUGUAUACAUAUAAAACAUGAGAUUGUGAAGAUCUGUCUUGGACGGCAUCGUCCUUUCACAAUGGUCAAUAAGGUGGGUCAGCGAUCUAACGGCUGGGGUCGCCUAAAGUCUUAUAUACUAUUUUCUUAACGCAAAUCUAAAGAAGAUUAAGAACUUGUGAUAUCCAAUUUCUCUCCCCCUACAUGCGAUUCACGACCAUGAGUAAGUAACAUGUGACUUUCUCGUCUUUCUUACUUUCUUUCUCGUACUGCUCUUACUUUUCUGUCAAAAGCUUAUGUACUGUAUAUACUUUACUUCAUUGAAAAUCAUAUUUUGCCGAUAGUAACCUUUUUUCCUAUUGGUGUAAGAGUUCUCUACUUCAUAUUUUGUAUUAAAAACAAAUAUACUGACUUCAAUAUUCAUCUCUAAGAAAAAUUAUUUAGAUAUUAGAUGUGUCAAUGGAUUUAGCCUUUUUUUUUUUAACACAAAGUAUGUUAGCCUUUGUUAUCUCAUAACUCUCGCUAUACAAAAGAGUCUGUAACAUUUACCGGAUAUUCUUAUAAUAGUUUAGGUAAUAUUGUCAAAAUACUAAUCUUACAAAAUUAUAAAAAAGGAUUGGGAUCCUCUUACAUCAUUUUUAUAACUAAUUAAUAGUAUUAUGCUAGUUGUUCGAUUCAUGCGAGAUAAAAUAUCAGCGACAUCUUUUAAAAGCAAGCAACGUAGACACCUUGCCGACAAGGAAAUAUACAAGUGGGUAGAUAAAUGUUAAUUUUAAUUAAACAUGAUUAAUUUGAAAAAGUAAGAUAGUGAACUUUUUUUGGUUGGACGCCAUGGCUGAAAAUAAUAUUUAUGGGGAUGUGAUUGUUGAAGUGAAGACAUAUGUUUAUGGGUUGUGACAUGUGAUUAGAUGACUACAGAAACCACUGAACUUUUGAGCUUCUUUUUGUUCACCGUAAUAACACAUGUUUCAAGUGGGAAUGUUACAACUUAAAUUCUGAACUUCUUUGAUGAUUGUUUUAUUUUAGGAUUGUUUUUAGCACAAAGCAUAAAGUGCAACAUUUUAGAAUGAAUCUUUAAAAUGCAUCAUUACAUUUUUGUAAAAACAAAAUGAAAAUUUGAAUAGUUUAGAUAAGAAAUAAAUAAGACGCAAAGUUAAAUUUGAGAAAUAGAGGAAAUUUAAUUCAGAAAUAACGAGGCAGGUGGUCGGAAUUUUUGACUAGUAACUAUAAUGAAUACAUGUUUACCAAUAAAAUCUAACAUAUAGAUUUCUUGUUAUAUGGGAAAUGCCAAGAUGCAGACACGCAUUUUUGUUCAUACAUUUCCCCUAAAGAUCCUCCCAAAUUAGUUGGCUCCCAUGAUUUUGACAUUUCCUAUCAUUAUGUAUCGCAUUCACAUCCUCCCAACACUGUUUACUUUUUCCAUAUAUAUAUUAGUUUCCUUUUUGAUUUUGAAAACUAUUUUGGUAUACUACAAUGUUAGUAUCUUUGGUUUUUCUUGUAUCAAUUUGAGUGGUACUACAUUGUACUUUCCGUUUGAAAAAAAGUUUAUUAUAAAGUUUGAAUGAUAGUUGUUUUCUUAUAAAUGAUAGAAUCCCGUCUUUCAGUAGUUCUAAAUAUAUUUAAAACACAAUCCUAGAAAAAUAUAGUUGAUUUCUUCCAAUAAAUGUAUACUGUAAUUGUGCCCCCAUCUUUGCCAUAAUAAACAUAUGUCGGCAUGAAAAAGGGAGAAGUUAGUUGAUUAGAAAAUUCAAUUGAAAUAAUGAUUAGAAAAGAAGAAGAAAUGCAUUUUUUGUUGCUAUCUUAGUCAAACAGCAAAUACUUUUAUGCCCUUACCCAUGAUGGUAAGUGCUAACCAAGUCUUCAUCCUUAAAAGAUACAUAAACAUAUAAAAACUUAAGAUCUGGAAAACAUAAAUUAUUCCAAUUCUGGUUACUCCCACUAAUGGACUUGUUAGUUACUUGCUAGGGCCGGUGCGUAAGCAAGUGACAAAUUAAAAAAGAAAAUCUUCAAUGUUGCAGAUAAUGUAAAAAAUUUUAUACACCCAAUGAUACUAUGCCAAGUGUGGAUAUGCCACAUGAUUCGAUGGACGAUAUUUUUUUGCCUUGCUUUCCAGUUUCACCAUCGUUGAUAUAACAUCAAAGAUAAUAUCUAUGUGAUUAGUAGCACAAUGUAAAUCAUAAAAGGUUGAAGUGGCUUCUUCCAUUGCUAACUAGACAUCCUGAAGCAAUAACCGAUUAAGAAUAACAAUUCACUUAGAUCACUGAAUGUUCAGGCAAGGAUCAAGGGACAACUUUGGAUCGGGUCGACGUGGAAUCGGGUUGGACUGUUUGGAUAAGGUUCCGAUACCAUGUUAAACUAGAUAGGCUUCCAACCUAAAAUCAACUGGUGAUAAGUGGAAUGACACAUUUAUCUUAUAUAUUGAGUAUGACCUCUUUUAACUAUUGAUGUGGGAAACUUAGUCUUUAAUAAUAACAUGUAUGCUUAAUUUACAUGUUUCUCUGUAAUGCUUAUUCGUCAGUGUUUCUAAAUGAAUGGACAGCAUGCUCAUGUUCAAGAGAAUGGUAAACUGCUUAUGAAGUUUGCGUUUUCCAGGGACCAUGUUUCCCACAAUAACUGUUAGAUAUCAUCAACACUCAUGACAAUAUUAUUAAAAAAAUUGGGUCCAAAACUAAGAUUCACAAAAUUACUAUAAAAUAUUUGCAUGUAAGUUUUAAAUGUUUCAGCCAUGGAGUUGAGCCUUGAACGCGAUGAGCCAUUUAGAAGCGGGUUUUUUAGGGUGAUCCGCAUAAGAGCUCCACCCAUUGUUCUUCGAUCUUCACCGCAUCAUUGACAAAACAUCAGGUGGUAGAAGAACACGAGAGAGGAAGAUCUCAAGUUCUCAUAAGUCAUGUAAAUCCUUGCUGGUCGUCUCAGUAGCGUCAUUUCGACGUUUCAUCUAAAUUUUUUUCCUCUUUCCAAACUUCUUUGUACCUUUUUGUUUUCCAUCAACAAGUCGUCAUCACCACCAAUUCAACUGAAAUCUGAAAGUUAAAUUUGGAGCAUUUUUUAGAAGAAGAAAUGGGUAUCCUCGAUCUCGGAACUUCUUCUUGUUAACCAAGAAAAGUGCCUCCAUUUUAUCUCCUCUGUCUUAUUUCUCAAUCACAUCAAAAGAUUAAGUAAAGAUGUUGAAGUCUUUUGAUUUGAGAAUCUUAUGAGCAUUGGGCUCAGCCGCGGUAGUAGUAAUUAAGAGGUUGGAGUCUUUUAAAAUGAGAAUGUUAUGAGCGUUAAGUUCAGCAUUAAUAGUGGUACCAAAGUUCAUAUUCUCACUUCACUGUAGCGAAAAGCAUCGAUUUCAACUCGGAUAAUCGCAUUUAAUUGUAACUUUACUUCAAAGUGGUUACUUUGCUUGAUGUGUUAGUGCAUUAGGAGUAUACUCUCGCUUACAUUCAGGAAAUAUAUAUGGGACUGUUGGAGCAUACACUUCUUAGUGAGGUUGAUUUUUAUAACUUAAAUUUGUUAGUGAGGUUGAUGUUUAUAAAAUAAAUGAAAUUACAAGUUUUAAAAUUGACUCAAAUACCUUGGCGAGUUUUGAAUUGUUAAUUUCUGAUUGAUGAAUAUUGUGCAGGCCAUUACAUGUUUUUGUUUGUCCCGCAGGCCAACUUGCUUAACUGCAUAUAUAUGGAGGGCGGGAUUGGUAUCAGUUUCAAAGACCGCAUCCUGCCGUGGGCUAUGACCUAAAUAGAACAGUUACCGCAGCAGAGCGAGACAUUUGGUCGCGGAACAACCCAAUUGUCAUCUCUAAUCACAGCCAGCACACAAAAAAACUUUGGCAUUCAUUUCCCUUUAUGAUUCACAAUGUCUCCUUCGAAACUUUUACUUCCUAACAAUAACAACAUGAAUAACUGUCUUUCUAAGAUCAUACUAAUAUACAUUACCAUACCAUCAA